rnacentral:misc_RNA from 1 species
GGAACCUAUCUUGAAAACAAGAAACAAAAAUGCCAGUUGGAAUAAUAGACAUUCACUAUGACAAGGUUUCCUGAACAAUGUGUAUCACAACAAAUUGGUAAAUUAAGGAAGCUGGAGGAAUCAAGAAACAACACAACCAUAUUCAUCAUACAACAGAAACUAGCUCUCUUAGAAAAAGCUUGAAGGAACACUAAAUAGAAAAGAGAGACAUUAUUCAAAGCAGCUAAAAGAAGAGACAGCAGUAAAACUAAAUAGCAGCUCCCUAACGCCUCACUGAGUCCCUGGCACAACAUACACACAAACUUUAGCCUCGUUCUUCGCCAUCAGCAGCUCGUAGAGAGCCCAGUUGAACAGGUGCUUGAGUUCCCACUACUUUUGAUGAACCAUAAACAGUUAAAUCAACACCUUGAGCUUUUUCUUUUUCAAUCUGCUCCUUAAUCCAGAAGUACGUGAUUCUAAGCCCAUCCUUUAAUUUCAUAGAAGGGGCCCAUCCCAGCUUCUCUUUAAUCAGAGUGUUAUCUGAGUUUCGACCUCGCACUCCCUCUGGACCAGGAAUGUGAUGGAUGGGAAGUUUCUUGUUCUCAAAGCUGAGGACAAUCUCAGCCAUCCCAUUCAUGCUGACCAUUUCAUCACUUCCAAUAUUCACCGGCUCUCGGAAAUCUGACUUUGUCAAUCUCAAUACAUGAACAGUUAAAAUCAAGUCAGUGGAUUAAUCUCACCUUCUUUGAUAUGUCAAUAUUUAGGAUAAAACCGCGAAACACAAUAAUUCACGCAUGAAAUCCUUAGGCAGUUCAUGAGACAUCAUUCUGGAGAAAACAAGCUAUUUUAUUACCAACAGACUUUACACCCAAAAAUGGGGUAAAGUCACCAUGCCAUUAACUUCAAGUUGCUAGGUUUAAGGAAAGGUCAAGAUGGGGCCAAGGCAAUGUGGAGACCACAAAUAACCGAUUUGCAAGACUCAAACCGAAAAGAGACUACUGAAAAGUUUCCAAAGUUAGCAUUGAAAACGGUUUCUGGAGGCUUACAGACCGGUAGCACACCCUCAUUCAGAAAGAACGUGUUUUAACAUAUUAUGCAGUUUAAGAGCUAUAUUUACGUUAAGAUGUCAUGAAAAUUAUAGAAGAGCACAAAUUUUUAGCAAGAUAAAUAUCCAGUGAAGCAACAUCUACCUUAGUACACCCUCUACACAUUCAUCAAUGAAGGUAAAAGACCGUGUUUGCAGCCCAUCUCCCCACAUCUCAAACAUAUCGGUGGAAGUGAUAGCUUUCCGACAAAAUGCUGCAGGGGCCUUUUCUCUCCCACCUAGAGCAAACAGCAACAAUAAUAAUAAUAUAUACAGUGCUGUAAAAUAUGCUAUGGAAAUAGUCGAACUUUACCUUUCCAUGUACCAAAUGGCCCAUAUAUGUUAUGAAACCGCCCAAUCCGACACUCAAUUCCAAAGUCUUUUGUGUAAUGCUUACAUAGCUCUUCAGUUGCAAGCUUUUCCAAACCAUAAGCAUCUUGAGGCUAGAAAACAAACAUAAAUCAGUCUAGCCAAUAUGUUAUACUUUAAGUGGAGAGACCAGACUAUAUAUAGUAGACUGAAGUGUGGAUUAAUUAGUUAAAAGGAAAAACCUCUGCAGGCCACGCAUCAGACUCCUUCAAGUUCACAUUAGUGUCUAGCGGUUUAAAUUCAGGGUAAAUGCAAGCACUAGAAGCAUAAAAGAACCUGGAAUUGGCGAUAUCAAAAUUUCAGAUAUGUCUCAUGUUCUACUAAAAAUCAAAGACAAUUAAAAAGAACAGGUAAACAAUAGAAUACAUUUGAGAUGAAGAACUAAAAAUUUUUUUCCCAUUAUGAAAUGACUGACAGCAUCUAAAAUAAAAUUAUGCUAUUUUUCACAGAACAAUUUAAGUGAAAUUUCAGUAAUAAUUUCUUCCUCCUAGGUCAUACAUCUAAUAAUAACUCAGAUCUCUCAAAACAAUGCAAAACAUUUUGUACAAGUUGUCAACUUUUAAACAAACACUGAAAACAAAAUAGACUAGUAAGCUGUCCAAAAGAAAAGGAGUAGAAUCAUAGUGUUAAGCGAAACAAAGAGAAAUGCUGCUACCAUAUGUGCCAGCAGUGAGCACAAGUACAAUGGAAUUGAUAAAACCAUGUUUGGCCUACUAUCCAAGGCCACAAACCUCUUAACUCCAUUGAUCCUUGCAGCCUCAAGCAUAUUGAAACUGACCAUUGUAUUGUUAUACAUAAUGACAGAAUGAUUCGAUUGAAUGAAGCCCAUUCAUCCCAUAUCAGCAGCAAGGUUGAACACAUGAUCAACUCCAGAUGUCACCUUGAAACAGUUAUCCAUCACCCUAAGAUCUAGAAGAUGAAAUUCGUGACAGAACAUGUCCUCUGUCAUAUGCUCAUUCUUUUUCCAGUCUGAAGCAAUUAUAUAAUGCCCCUCACUCUUCAGUCACCUGGCAAUGUGCGAGGCAAUGAAGCCACCAGCAUCUGUAAUUGGAAUGCGGAGCUUUUCUGAAGGCCAAUAGGGUUCCCUCUCAAGGUUCUCAUAGGUGUAUUCCCCAUAAGCGGUUGCAACAGCACUUCCCAUUCUUGGAAGCAGAGAAAUGAUUGAGAUAAGAGAAAGCGAAGGGAAUGCGAAAAGCCAUCCACAUCUCAAUUCUCUCUUUCGUUCCCUUUUGUUCUGCUCCAAAAU